AGAGUUUGAUCCUGGCUCAGGAUGAACGUUGGCGGUGUGCCUAAUACAUGCAAGUCGAACGGUGACGAUUUUGUAGCAAUACGAAUGAAAUCAUAGUGGCGAACGGGUGAGUAACGCGUUGGUGAUCUGCCUCGAAGUGUGGAAUAACUUCCCGAAAGGGUAGCUAAUACCGCAUAGUCUCUCAAGGUUUAGAAAAUUGAGAGUAAAGGAUUUAUUCGCUUCGAGAGGAGCCUGCGUCCCAUCAGCUAGUUGGUAGGGUAAUAGCCUACCAAGGCAAUGACGGGUAGGGGACCUGAGAGGGUGGCCCCCCACAAUGGAACUGAAACACGGUCCAUACACCUACGGGUGGCAGCAGUAGGGAAUAUUAGAAAUGGGCGAAAGCCUGAUCUAGCAACACCGCGUGUGCGAUGAAGGCCUUCGGGUUGUAAAGCACUUUUUGGAGGGAAUAGGAAGGAAGGUACCUCCAGAAUAAGUCUCGGCUAACUACGUGCCAGCAGCCGCGGUAACACGUAGGAGGCAAACGUUAUCCGGAUUCACUGGGCGUAAAGCGCGUGUAGGUGGUUCUGUAAGUAGGGCGUGAAAGCUCCCGGCUCAACUGGGAGAGGCCGUACUAAACUGCAGAGCUAGAGGAUGGUAGAGGGAGGUGGAAUUCCAGGUGUAGUGGUGAAAUGCGCAGAUAUCUGGAGGAACACCAGUGGCGAAGGCGGCCUCCUGGACCAUUCCUGACACUCAGACGCGAAAGCUAGGGUAGCAAACGGAAUUAGAGACUCCGGUAGUCCUAGCCCUAAACGAUGCAGACUAGGCGUCGGCGGUUUAAUCACCGUCGGUGUCCAAGCUAACGCGAUAAGUCUGCCGCCUGAGGACUACGGCCGCAAGGCUAAAACUCAAAGGAAUUGACGGGUCCCCGCACAAGCAGCGGAGCGUGUGGUUUAAUUCGAUGCUCCGCGAAGAACCUUACCUGGGUUUGACAUAACAGUGGUAGAGAAGUGAAAACGGAUCGACCCUUCGGGGAGCUGUUACAGGUGUUGCAUGCCUGUCGUCAGCUCGUGUCGUGAGAUGUUGGGUUAAGUCCCGCAACGAGCGCAACCCU
rnacentral:rRNA from 1 species